rnacentral:rRNA from 1 species
GACCUUACCCCGAUUAGCUGAGAGGUGGUGCAUGGCCGUCGUCAGUUCGUACUGUGAAGCAUCCUGUUAAGUCAGGCAACGAGCGAGACCCACGUCCACAGUUGCCAGCAUACCCUCCGGGGUGAUGGGUACACUGUGGAGACCGCCGCUGCUAAAGCGGAGGAAGGAGUGGGCAACGGUAGGUCAGUAUGCCCCGAAUCUCCCGGGCUACACGCGGGCUACAAUGGUUGGUACAAUGGGCAUCUACCCCGAAAGGGGAAGGAAAUCUCUUAAAGCCAAUCGUAGUUCGGAUUGAGGGCUGCAACUCGCCCUCAUGAAGCUGGAAUCCGUAGUAAUCGCGUUUCAACAGAACGCGGUGAAUACGUCCCUGCUCCUU